rnacentral:rRNA from 1 species
GUCCUCCGGGAGUCAGACUACGAGUGCUAAGAUCCGUGGUCAAGAGGGAAACAGCCCAGACCGCCAGCUAAGGUCCCAAAGUAACCGUUAAGUGGCAAAGGAUGUGGAGUUGCCCAGACAACCAGGAUGUUGGCUUAGAAGCAGCCAUCAUUCAAAGAGUGCGUAAUAGCUCACUGGUCAAGUGACUCUGCGCCGAAAAUGUAACGGGGCUAAACGGUUCACCGAAGCUGCGGAUGUCCUUCGGACAUGGUAGGGGAGCGUUCCAAACAGCAGCGAAGCUGCUUCGUGAGAAGCGGUGGAGCGUUUGGAAGUGAGAAUGCCGGUAUGAGUAGCGAAAAGAAGGGUGAGAAUCCCUUCCACCGAAAGCCUAAGGUUUCCUGAGGAAGGUUCGUCCGCUCAGGGUUAGUCGGGACCUAAGCCGAGGCCGAAAGGCGUAGGCGAUGGACAACAGGUUGAGAUUCCUGUACCACCUUGUUCCGUUGACGACGGGGGGACGCAGGAGGGUAGAGAAUCGCGCGACUGGUUGUGCGCGUCCAAGCAGUGAGGCUGAAGAGACAGGCAAAUCCGUCUCUUCUUAAGGCCAGGCUGUGAUGGCGAGGGAAGUUUCAGUACCGAAGUUCUUGAUCUCACACUGCCAAGAAAAGCCUCUAAGGAGGAACAAGGUGCCCGUACCGCAAACCGACACAGGUAGGCGAGGAGAGAAUCCUAAGGUGCUCGGGAGAACUCUCGUUAAGGAACUCGGCAAAAUGACCCCGUA